UCCGCUGUGGUGUAAUGGCUAACAUCUGUCGCUCUCAUGAGAGAAGAUUCAUUUCUCAGAAAGAUCCGACAAGCUCGGGGUUCGAUUCCCCGCAGCGGAG